GCGCCCGUGCUCCAGAACCCAAGACAAGGAAGGGCUGGGGAGUGAGGACGCACCUGGCUUCCUGACAGCAUCUGCAAUUGACUACAGUCCUUUCACUUAUGCCAGGGGGAGGUUCGGGGCUGAAGGGAUGGGGUCGCAAAAUGCUCGUGCAAAGCACCUUCUUGGCAGGAGUUUGGUUUUUCUGCCCCCACCCUCCUACUUUCCCCGUGGAAGAAGUGGAUGUCCUCGCGCGAGGUUCGAACAGGCUGCAAGACCAAGGCACCGCGCGUGCGGACUGAUCUUCCUCACCCCCGGCAGAGGGCGCCCUUCUCCCGCUCCAGCGCCCCGCCGGGCGAGCCCCUCCAGCCGCGCCCUGAGCCCUGCCUCGUCCAGGCCGGGUCUCCAGCGCCAGGUGCCUGCAGCCCUACACUGGGAGAAUUACAAAGCUACUUCUGUCUGACAUUGGGCACAGCCUUUGAAUGUCCCGUUCCUUUUGCUCCUAGCUGACUUACUGCUCAUUUUUAUUUUCCUAAGUGAAUAUUGAAACUUAUUUGCAUUUUAUGGAGCUCCUGGUAACAGAGGGAUCUUACCUGGCAGGGUGAGAAUCCCGCUAAGGAAGUUGGCUCAGGACGGAGGUUCUCGCCAGGGCUCACCCACAAAGGGAAUAAUCCUAUCUAUGAGACAAAUAAUUUCCUUUAAAGCUUGCAAAGGGGGGCGGACGCGGUCGCUCUUGCCUGUAAUCCCAACACUUUGGGAGGCUGAGGCCGGCGGAUCACUUCAGGUCAGGAAUUCGAGAGCAGCCUGGCCAACAUGGUGAAACCCG
rnacentral:lncRNA from 10 species